rnacentral:rRNA from 1 species
UAACACAUGCAAGUCGAACGCUGAAGCUCCCAGCUUGCUGGGGGUGGAUGAGUGGCGAACGGGUGAGUAACACGUGAGUAACCUGCCCCGAACUCUGGGAUAAGCGCUGGAAACGGCGUCUAAUACUGGAUAUGUCCUAUCACCGCAUGGUGUGUAGGUGGAAAGAAUUUCGGUUCGGGAUGGACUCGCGGCCUAUCAGCUAGAUGGUGAGGUAAUGGCUCACCAUGGCGACGACGGGUAGCCGGCCUGAGAGGGUGACCGGCCACACUGGGACUGAGACACGGCCCAGACUCCUACGGGAGGCAGCAGUGGGGAAUAUUGCACAAUGGGCGCAAGCCUGAUGCAGCAACGCCGCGUGAGGGAUGACGGCCUUCGGGUUGUAAACCUCUUUUAGUAGGGAAGAAGCGAAAGUGACGGUACCUGCAGAAAAAGCACCGGCUAACUACGUGCCAGCAGCCGCGGUAAUACGUAGGGUGCAAGCGUUGUCCGGAAUUAUUGGGCGUAAAGAGCUCGUAGGCGGCUUGUCGCGUCUGCUGUGAAAACCAGAGGCUCAACCUCUGGCCUGCAGUGGGUACGGGCAAGCUAGAGUGCGGUAGGGGAGAUUGGAAUUCCUGGUGUAGCGGUGGAAUGCGCAGAUAUCAGGAGGAACACCGAUGGCGAAGGCAGAUCUCUGGGCCGUAACUGACGCUGAGGAGCGAAAGCAUGGGGAGCGAACAGGAUUAGAUACCCUGGUAGUCCAUGCCGUAAACGUUGGGAACUAGAUGUAGGGCCUGUUCCACGGGUUCUGUGUCGUAGCUAACGCAUUAAGUUCCCCGCCUGGGGAGUACGGCCGCAAGGCUAAAACUCAAAGGAAUUGACGGGGGCCCGCACAAGCGGCGGAGCAUGCGGAUUAAUUCGAUGCAACGCGAAGAACCUUACC